rnacentral:rRNA from 1 species
UAGGGAAUCUUCCACAAUGGACGAAAGUCUGAUGGAGCAACGCCGCGUGAGUGAAGAAGGGUUUCGGGCUCGUAAAACUCUGUUGUUAAAGAAGAACAUAUCUGAGAGUAACUGUUUACCCAGUGACGGUAUUUAACCAGAAAGCCACGGCUAACUACGUGCCAA